GCUGGGUGUGGUGGCGUGUGCCUGUAAUCCCAGCGGCUCAGAGGCUGAGGCAGGAGGAUAGUGAGUUCAAAGCCAGCCUCGCAACAGUGAGGUGCUAAGUCACUCAGUGAGACCCUGUCUCUU
rnacentral:sRNA from 1 species